rnacentral:lncRNA from 1 species
AUAAUCAAAGAACAAAAUAACAAUAUAACAAGUUUUUGGUAAGAGUAAACAAUGUCAAAAAAAUUAUCUUGGCUAUCUCAAGUAAAAUUGAGAUCUAACUAAAUGUAAUAGUCUCAAAAUAAAAUCAACUACUUAACUCCUAAUUCAAAUGGAAUUAAAAUCUCCAGUAAAUUUGCAAUAAAUCUUUAUGAAAUCAUCAAUCCAAAAGCCAAGCAUGUUAAAGUUGAUACUUGACCUCAAUUUCCUUAAAAAUUCUGCACAAGAAAUGCACAAAAAAUUUGUAACUAUAUAAUAAUAUAAAUUAGAUUCCAUUAAUUAGAAAAAAAUUGAAUAUCAAAAAUGACUAAUUGAUUUUUUAUAAAAACAAACAAAUUAAGGAAUUGAUGCACAAGCAACAAUUAUAUACAUGAAAUUUUCCUUCUUUCGAAAGAAAAGAAAGAUCUUGUAGUUUUUCAAACAUACCCACUUUUUUUAGUUGUGUCAACUACACUAGUUCCAGUCUUCUUGAUCAUGUUAGUGUGAGAAAAAAACAUUUAAUUCGAUAUUUUGAUACUUUACGAAGUACAAAACUUUACAUUUCAUUGAAUACACAAGUGUGACAAUAUAUCCAGAAUGAAAAUUUAAAAAGGAUGAUAUAUGAUUGCUUCAACAAAAUAAACAUCUGGUGUUGGGAAAAAGAUACAAACAUCCUAUAAUGCAACUAACAGUGUAAUAACAUUUGUAUGCAUUCACCAUUUUAUAUGAAAGUUCAAAACUUCCUUCAAUGCUACUUCUGACUUAUCCAUGUCUAUUUCCCAGGAAAUCAGCAAUUUUUCCAACCUAAAAUAUUAUGAGCAUGCUAAUCAAUAUUGAUAAACUUUAAACCUCAAAGACCCAACUCAAAUCACUUGAAGUUCAUUUUACAAACCACUCCCAUCUUUAUUUGCUGGAAUUUGUGGGAAAAUAGAUGUGCAAAGAAGUAUGGGGAAAAAUUCAAAUAUGGCUAGAGUCAAAUUCUCUGUAUUCAAAGAUACUUUCAAUUUAUUGCACACCAUUUUUCCUUACAUUAGCUGUCCCUCAACCUGGAAAUCAGUGGUAUCAAUUUCUGAAAUUCUAUCCACGACACAAAAGUUACACUUGUCCAAUGGAUCAAAUCUCAAGCUCAAUGGGUCAAACUCAAUACAAAUGGUAGUCCAUUGAGUAAACCAGGCAGAAAUUGGGCUGGGGAAUACUCAAAAAUUCAAGAGGGGAAAUGUUCUUUGCUUAUGAAGUUCCACUAGGGAAAGGAACUAACAAACUAACAAAAAUGGAGAUUGCCCUGUUUUGUAUGACCUGGUGCUAACAAUUGGAUUACAAUCAGGUAAUUCUGGAGGUUGAUACCAACUUCUUGUGGAUUGGAUCAAGAGUAAUUAUAACCAUCCGUAGAGCAUUAUUUCUCAAGUACAAAGGUUGCACAACAUCAUCCAAAAAAUCCAAAAAUUUGAAUGCAUACACACUCUCAGGUUAGUCAAUGUUGCAGCUAACACUCUCUCAAAAUAGAUUCAUCAGAUUUCUAGCUUUAUUUAAACAUAAAACAGUUACCAAAGGAAACAACAACAUAUUAUCAACUAGACAAAGUGGAAAUGGAAAGUUUCAGAAGAAGAAAACUGAGAAGUAUAAAAGAACCUCCCUGAAGUGGCACUUGGUGAUCUGUACAGAAGUCUCUAUACAAUGUUUGGUAAUCUCAUCCUAGUAACUACGCUGUAUCUUUAUUUGAUACAGCUUACUUGAAUAGGCCUAGGUUUUUCUUUUCUCUCUUCUUUGUAAGGGGAGUGUCUCCCUUAUUUUAUGCUUACUAGUAAUAUUUUAUCGAGAGGAGUCCUCUCAUUUAGGUGCAUAACUUGUAGGCUUCUUUAUAGAAAAAAGGGAGGAGUUGACUAUCCUUAGUAGGAAGGUCAACUUAUGAAGCACCAUAGGAUCGGAGGUAAGAUUCUAUGUCCCCUUCCUUGUACCUUUUUGCUAUUUUAUUUAUGCUAAGGUCUGGGGGUGUUGCUAAGCCCUUGAACCCCAAAGGGCCGUUCAAAUAAAAAAACCCACUUGAACUGAUCCCUUCAUAUGUAUAUAUGUUCGCAUACCUUGAUAAAAGAAAUAGUCAACUUCAAUUUUCAUCCCAAAAAUUCAAAAAAAUUGUGAGCAAAUUUUAUAGACCAAAAGUAAAGCAUAAGUUUGAGAACUUUAUCAAGGUUAUUUUUGAAGGUAUAAUUAUCAAAGAAGAAAAAAAGUAAAGCAUAAGAUUAAGCUCACCAAUCUCAGUUGAGACUGAAUACUAUAUAUAAUAUUAGGGGCAAUCAAAUUACACAUUCAUAGAAAGCAAAGACAAAAAUGUGUAGAAUUCAAAUAUUCAAAUGCUUCACUUGUCAAGUCAAUAUCAUAUAUCUAUUUGACUAAUUUUGGACUGGAUUAUGGUCCUUUUUUCAAAUUUGGACAAGAAAAUGAAGAAGUUGGUUGUGAAAGUUCCUAGUAAAGAUAAUGUUGACAGUUUUACAGAAUGCGCUAAUGCUUACUACUUGAAACGGCCACAUCAUCUGGGAUUACUUCAAAAUUGUAUGGCAACUAUCUCUCAUUGGAAGAUCGCUAUUGCAGCACUCGCCAAGAACCAUCAUCGUCAAAAUUCCUUUCCAACUCCAUCCUCCCAUUUUGAUCAUGAUAAUGAUGAUCAAUUUAACAAGGAAGAGAACAAUGGAUCGGAUAUUGUCGAUUCUUAUGUUGAGAGUUCAUUAUUAUAUCAAACUCAAUUCCCAUCAACACAAGCUAAAUUUGAACCUGACAUGAUCAUCGCAGACUUGAUGGUGAUCAGAAGUGUCGACUAUGAAAUCAUCCUACACUAGCUUAGUCAAGUAAGAUAGAGUUGCAUGAAAUCUCAUUGGAGUUGUUGGAAUCAGAGAGGUUGAUCUUGUUAAAUGAGAGCACGAUAUUAAAAUACAAAGUGGCUUCAUUGAUGGAGGAGAAUAAGGGGUUGUCUUCAGAGUCGUUGUUCAUGAAGAGGAAGGUGGAUAAGCUUCCCAGGUUCAUGCUAAACAGAACGGAUGAUCAUAGAAUUUGUAUGCUUAGUCGAAAACUUUAGGAUCUUCAAGGUCAGAUUUAUUGGAUUGGAGAGGAGAAGCAAUGAGUAUUAUAAGCAGCUAAUGCAACAUGCAGAAAAAAAGGAGAAGGUCCAAGAGGGGGUUGAAGGGUUGCUUUUAAAGUGCCUGAAGAGGCUGCUGUUGGCAAUGUCAAAAAGGGUGAGAAGCAGAAAAUAGUCGGUGUUGAAGUUGGAAGGAAAUUUCUAUGUUUUGGGACAGGGUUAAAAAGCUUGAUAUCUUCCUUUGUGCACCUAUUGUAGACAUCAGAAAAAGAGGGUGUUUCUACUUAAAGUUUACUGCAUAAAAAAGAUUACCUUUAUCACCACGAGAAACAUGUAUGCUUAUGAAGGCCCAUACAGAGCCAUCAUAAGCAUACAUUUUUGUCUUGGCUUAAAAUGUUGCUGCGGAAGUGCUAGUACUUGAAGAACUCUUUUGGCAUACCAAAAUCCUUUGUAUUGGUGAAGAUGUUCACUCAGCCAACCUCUAUCUUUUGGUAGUUCAGGGAGUAUUAUGUCAGAGGAUUUGCUGAUCUUUGUGGCUUUGUUCUUUGGUGAUACCAGUUGUGAGUAAGAGGAUAGAGAAUAAACUUGUCAUUAUUGAGUUUAAUGGAGAAAAGACAGUAGUAGAAAGUAGUAAAUAUUUGACUAGAACAUAGUGUUUCUACUCAAAGUUUGUUGCAUAAUAAAGAUUAGCUUUAUCAUCACGAGAAACAUGUAUGCUUAUGAAGGCACAUACACAGGCAUCAUCCUACCCUUUUUGUUCUUAAUUAAAUACGGGGGAAGAAAAAUAUGAUGGGAGAAGCACUAAAUUUGAAGUUUACUUGACCACCCCAAUGAAUCUAGCUUGUUAAUAUCAGAAAAGAAGCAACUUUUAGCUACAUGACAGAACACAAUAUAAUGGUCAGCAAGUAGAAAGUUUCUCACAAUCCUUUCUUGUAAUGAUCUUAUCUAAGUAAAUUUCCUUUUAUCUCUUUUUAAGUACUUCUGAUAGUUAAAAGACUUAUAUCCCCCCCCCCCCCAAAAAAAAUCACAUUUCCCAAAAAUGAGAUAAGAGAAAUUACUUAAUUAAAAAAAUAUUUAUUAUUGUAAGAACCCAUUCUUAGAUCCCACUCGUCGGAUCACACUAUGUAUGUUGUUGUUUAUUAUAAGAACUCAUCUUACAAUAAGCUAAAAUCUCAAGCACACAGAUUAUAUAGCACACAAUAAACAAUAUAAGUCCUUAUAAAAUUUACAUAUUCAGUUAAAUUAUUUCCUUUUCCAGAUGGAAAUGACCCAAUCUCUAGAACUAACCAACUAUUCAUGUUAGUGGUAAACUAUUAUGCUCAAGUUUGCCAGGCCUCUAUCCCUCUUCAUAUUUUCUUUGUGAUAAACCCUACCAAUUGCCACCUUUAAACAAAUUAAUAGAAUCAUGGAUAACUACUUCUGAGUGAAACUGGGUGGAAGAAACACCACUGGAUAGCAUAGGAUGAUUUGUGUUACCCCUACUCAUAGGGGGAUAGGAAUCAGGAAGAUCCAAAGUUCUUGUGAUUCAUUUUUGGUGAAGAAUCAAUGGAAUUUUAGAACUAACAACUCACUUCUUAGAGAAUUCCUUGAAGCCAGAUACUAUAAAAGAUUACAUCUCGUGGCUCGAAAAAGAUCUUAUAAUUAAUCUCAAUCUUGGAGAAGACUUAUGAAAAUAAAAAAAAUUGUUAAGCAAAUAUCUUAUAGAGUAUUGAAAAGGUUAAUGUGUCCUUCUGGUAGGAUAGGUUGACUGAUCAAAUGGAAGCACUUACUAAUAUGUCUUUUGAGGACGCUAAAAUCAAAAAUAUCAAAGUGCAACUAAUUUCACAAAAGACAAUAAAUGGGAUGCGGAAGCUCUUGGGGGAAUAAUUCUUGACAGUUAAAUGUACAACAUCACUGAUAUUCAUAUUCACAGGGGCACAAAGAUAAACAUCUUGAAAAAAAAACUGAAAAUGGUGAUUUUAGCUGCAAAUCAUAAAGUUUAAACAACCUACUCUUAGUGUUAAUUUUUAUUUGGCAUUCUGAAAUUCCUUUUAAAGUUUCUUUCUUUAUGAUAAAUUUACUGAAAAAAGCUAUUGCUAUUGAUAAUAUGAACAAGAAGCUUCAAGUUACAGGUCCUUCAAUCGAUAUUUUUUUUAAAAUCGUAUUACUUCAGCACACUAAUUUUACCUAAUUGCUUGAUUUAAACAAAUCUUGUAAUGAAUAAGCACCAUGGAACUACUUGAAUCACACAAAAGAUAAAACUACAUCCCCAUAUUAUCAAAAAAUAUGAUAGGCAGAUCGAUAUGACUCAAGCGCUACUGACAAAAUAAUAGGUAGAUAUGAAACUACUAAAGUCUCAAAACGAAGUUCUGAACUCUAUAUCAAUGUUCUGCCAACAGUUUGCCUUCUUUUUCUCAUACUCUUCUAACUACAAAUCAAUGUUUUUAACGGGUAGAUAGAAUAUAUGAAGUACUUCAAAAAUACUAAAAGAUAGUACUAACGCACAAAUUUUAGUGAUAGUCUUUAAGUAAUUGAAAUCAAAUUGAUCUAUAUCUUCAAUUAUCAUAUAGCAAAACCAAAAUUGAAGGAAAAAACUUGCCUCAAUCGAAAUCAAAAAAGACAUUGAAAGGAUCGAAUCCCUACAAACUUUGAAUGACAAAGGGAAGUACAAAGAGGGAAGCCCAAAAUACUAGCCGCCAAAUUAUUUUCCUAUCCAAAUGUUGUAUUCCAUAAUUUUUUGCUCCAAAUCUACGAGCUCCAUAUUUUCAGUAGCAAUAGGG